GUAACUCAGGAAAGGAGAUGGUAAAGAAAGCUUACCAGAGGAGGCAGCCCCUGAGGCACCUGAAAGGAGUCUCUAAAGUACUAACAUGACUCGUGUGUUUCCUCUUCAAACUGUGGGACUAGAUGUGCUCUAUGGUUCAUUCCUGCUCCAGGAGGAAAUAUAUAAAAGGCUUCAUAUCUGAGCUUUAAAAGACCCUCAGCAGAAGAUGAAGCUAAGCUGUACCUGGACUCCUGACUCACAGAAAC